AUUAGUUCCGGAAAUGCCUUAAAACUGUAUUUCCGGCUUUCACAUUCAAUAAACAGACUAGCGUGGACACCUACCGCAAUGGUUUGGUAAUAUGCUAACGCUUUCCAUAAGCUCUUGUAAAAGUUUUGUAAGUACUGGUGUUACAAGGAGAUUUUGUUUACAAUUUUAUUGACCUGCAUGUACAUACGUAAGAAUUACAACAGAAGUUUUUGUAUCCUCCCAGUCGGUUUUAUUGAAAAGGAUUAACGACAAAACUUACUUUCGGUUGUGCAGUAAAAUGGAUAAUGUGGUGUCCAUUACGUAACGGAGUAAUCUGCAAACAGCUGUUGGAAUUUCGGCCGGCGUCGCAAAAGCAACAAUUUUCAACCGCGAAAAGCUUUUGGCCUCUUGAGCCAAAAUUACAUACAGGUUGCAGGCUUGGAAAAAUAUCUCAAUCUGGACUCACCUACUCACUCUCACUCUCUCCCUCUCCCUCUUCACGCUUUCCUUUAUUCACUCACUCUCCCACGCGAUUUUUGGAGCAGAAACGACGGCGGAGGAAAUGCAGCGCAGUCGACGCCAAAAGGGAUAUUUUAUGUUAUAUAUUAAGCGUGUCCUUAAAUAUGAAUUUCCCAAUCCUAUUCUUAUUCAAAUUAUAAAAUGUAUUUUUAGUUUUAAGCUUAAAAUAUUGUUAAGUCGGUCUCGGCUUCAUAUUAAGUAUAUAAGUAUGUUAUUCAUAUAAUUUUUGUACUAGGAGUGUCCCAUGAUAGAGUAUUAAAAUAAAUGCAUUUCGUAAAUAGCUGAUCUUAUGCACAUUCAAAUAACUAUGCUCAAUAACCUUGCUGGGACUUGAUUCACUUAAUAACUCAAUUUUGGGAUUUUCAGUGGGUGGAAAUUUCCCUGGCACCCACGCAAACGAACGGGUUAAAAGAGAGUGAAAAAGAGAGCGCACGAAAGCAACAAUUGCUUACUCUUAUGCACAAAGAAAAAAUACUAACAACUUUGGAUUUUGAAUUGAAUUACAUAGAAUUUAAUAGAAAAGUGCAGGUUAAAAAGUAAUUAAAACAAUGUAUUAG